GCGGAGGAUCAUUAACGAAUUGCAAUUGGGAGUUGAUGCUGGCAGUCAUAUUGUUUGGCCGCAUGUGCUUGCUCCCAAUAAUCUUUAUCCAAACACCCGUGCACGUUUUUGAGAGUUUCUGAGUCGAUUACUGUCUUCUUGGAUCCUCCUCGCUUUUUUCACUUUAUACACCGCUACCAAUAUUGAACGUGAUUUGUGCCGCAGGGCCUUUAAUGCAAUAUACAACUUUUAACAACGGAUCUCUUGGCUCUCGCAUCGAUGAAGAACGCAGCGAAAUGCGAUAAGUAAUGUGAAUUGCAGAAUUCAGUGAAUCAUCGAAUCUUUGAACGCACCUUGCGCUCCCUGGUAUUCCGGGGAGCACGCCUGUUCGAGUGUCGUGAAAUUCCUCAAGCUGAGAUUAGCUUUUCCUUUGGCAAAAGCUUUUUUUCUUAGUCUUGGUGUUGGGCUCUGCCGUGUCCUUUAUUGGGAUGGCUGGCCUUAAAAGCAUUAGCUGACCCGCUCAUCUAGGCAAUUGGUUCUACUCAGCGUGAUUAAUAAUUUUGACCGCCGAGGACAUCUUUUUUUGGGAUGGCCAGUUUCCAUUCGGGUUGCUUCUAGUCUGGUUGCACAGAUUGCUAAUCUUUGUAUGCCACAUUUUUCAGCUUUGACCUCGAAUCAGGUGGGACUACCCGCUGAACUUAAGCAUAUCAAUAAAGCGGA
rnacentral:rRNA from 1 species